CCUACGGGUGGCAGCAGUGGGGAAUAUUGGACAAUGGGCGAAAGCCUGAUCCAGCCAUGCCGCGUGUGUGAAGAAGGCCUUCGGGUUGUAAAGCACUUUCAGUGGGGAAGAAAGCCUUGGGGCUAAUACCCUCGAGGAAGGACAUCACCCACAGAAGAAGCACCGGCUAACUCCGUGCCAGCAGCCGCGGUAAUACGGAGGGUGCGAGCGUUAAUCGGAAUUACUGGGCGUAAAGCGCGCGUAGGCGGUCUGUUAAGCCGGUUGUGAAAGCCCCGGGCUCAACCUGGGAACGGCAUCCGGAACUGUCAGGCUAGAGUGUAGGAGAGGAAGGUAGAAUUCCCGGUGUAGCGGUGAAAUGCGUAGAGAUCGGGAGGAAUACCAGUGGCGAAGGCGGCCUUCUGGACUGACACUGACGCUGAGGUGCGAAAGCGUGGGUAGCAAACAGGAUUAGAUACCCCAGUAGUC
rnacentral:rRNA from 1 species